rnacentral:misc_RNA from 1 species
UCCGGUUUAGACCGGCGGUCUCCCUAGAAUAUUCAACUAAGAGCAGGGGUUGCGCUCGUUGCGGCACUUAAGCCAACACCUCACGGCACGAGCUGAAGACAGCCAUGCAGCACCUGAGCAGGAUGGUAUUGCUACCUCGUUGGGCUUUCACCCUUCUACUACCUGCAUGUCCAGCCCAGGUAAGGUUCUUCGCGUUGCGUCGAAUUAAACCACAUGCUCCACCGCUUGUGCGGGCCCCCGUCAAUUCCUUUGAGUUUCAACCUUGCGGCCGUACUCCCCAGGCGGCACAUUUAAUGCGUUAGCGUCGACACGAAGGGGGUCGAUACCCCUCACGUCUAAUGUGCAUCGUUUACAGCUAGGACUAC